UACGGAGGAUGCGAGCGUUAUCCGGAUUUAUUGGGUUUAAAGGGUGCGUAGGCGGUCUGUUAAGUCAGCGGUAAAAUUGCGGGGCUCAACCCCGUCGAGCCGUUGAAACUGGCAGACUUGAGUUGGUGAGAAGUACGCGGAAUGCGCGGUGUAGCGGUGAAAUGCAUAGAUAUCGCGCAGAACUCCGAUUGCGAAGGCAGCGUACCGGCGCCACACUGACGCUGAGGCACGAAAGCGUGGGGAUCGAACAGG
rnacentral:rRNA from 1 species